rnacentral:lncRNA from 1 species
CCUGCGCGACUGACAUAAAGAUCAUAAAAUAUUUCCAUACACCAAAUAUAGUUGACCUAUGGCAUAUAGAAUUAGAUAAAAAGACCAAAACUCAAAAACUUAACUUUGACCACUGAACCAUGAAAAUGAGGUCAAGGUCACAUGACAUCUGCCCGCUAGACAUGUACACCUUACAAUCAUUCCAUACAACAAAUAUAGUAGACCUAUUGCAUAUAGUAUGACGAAAACAGACCAAAACACAAAAAUUUAACUAUAACCACUGAACCAUGAAAAUGAGGUCAAGGUCAGAUGACACCUGCCAGUUGGACAUGUACACCUUACAGUCCUUCCAUACACCGAAUAUACUAG